rnacentral:ncRNA from 1 species
GAGUUUGAUCCUGGCUCAGGACGAACGCUGGCGGCGUGCCUAAUACAUGCAAGUCGAACGCUUCUUUUUCCACCGGAGCUUGCUCCAUCGGAAAAAGAGGAGUGGCGAACGGGUGAGUAACACGUGGGUAACCUGCCCAUCAGAAGGGGAUAACACUUGGAAACAGGUGCUAAUACCGUAUAACAAUCGAAACCGCAUGGUUUUGAUUUGAAAGGCGCUUUACGGUGCCGCUGAUGGAUGGACCCGCGGUGCAUUAGCUAGUUGGUGAGGUAACGGCUCACCAAGGCCACGAUGCAUAGCCGACCUGAGAGGGUGAUCGGCCACAUUGGGACUGAGACACGGCCCAAACUCCUACGGGAGGCAGCAGUAGGGAAUCUUCGGCAAUGGACGAAAGUCUGACCGAGCAACGCCGCGUGAGUGAAGAAGGUUUUCGGAUCGUAAAACUCUGUUGUUAGAGAAGAACAAGGAUGAGAGUAACUGUUCAUCCCUUGACGGUAUCUAACCAGAAAGCCACGGCUAACUACGUGCCAGCAGCCGCGGUAAUACGUAGGUGGCAAGCGUUGUCCGGAUUUAUUGGGCGUAAAGCGAGCGCAGGCGGUUUCUUAAGUCUGAUGUGAAAGCCCCCGGCUCAACCGGGGAGGGUCAUUGGAAACUGGGAGACUUGAGUGCAGAAGAGGAGAGUGGAAUUCCAUGUGUAGCGGUGAAAUGCGUAGAUAUAUGGAGGAACACCAGUGGCGAAGGCGGCUCUCUGGUCUGUAACUGACGCUGAGGCUCGAAAGCGUGGGGAGCAAACAGGAUUAGAUACCCUGGUAGUCCACGCCGUAAACGAUGAGUGCUAAGUGUUGGAGGGUUUCCGCCCUUCAGUGCUGCAGCUAACGCAUUAAGCACUCCGCC